rnacentral:rRNA from 1 species
AACGAACGCUGGCGGCAUGCCUAACACAUGCAAGUCGAACGAGACCUUCGGGUCUAGUGGCGCACGGGUGCGUAACGCGUGGGAACCUGCCCUUAGGUUCGGAAUAACUCCCCGUAAGGGGUGCUAAUACCGGAUAAUGUCUUCGGACCAAAGAUUUAUCGCCUUUGGAUGGGCCCGCGUUGGAUUAGCUCGUUGGUAGGGUAAAAGCCUACCAAGGCGCCGAUCCAUAGCUGGUCUGAGAGGAUGAUCAGCCACACUGGGACUGAGGCCCGGCCCAGACUCCUACGGGAGGGAGGAGUGGGGAAUAUUAGACAAUGGGCGAUAGCCUGAUCCAGCAGUGCCGCGGGAGUGAUGAAGGCCUUAGGGUUGUAAAGCUCUUUUACCCGGGAUGAUAAUGACAGUACCGGGAGAAUAAGCUCCGGCUAACUCCGUG